ACUCAAAGGAAUUGACGGGGGCCCGCACAAGCAGUGGAGUAUGUGGUUUAAUUCGAAGCAACGCGAAGAACCUUACCAGGGCUUGACAUGCAGAGGAAUAGUUAAGAGAUUAACUAGCUCUUCGGAGCCUCUGUACAGGUGGUGCAUGGUUGUCGUCAGCUCGUGUCGUGAGAUGUUGGGUUAAGUCCCGCAACGAGCGCAACCCCUAUUGUUAGUUGCCAGCAGGUAAAGCUGGGCACUCUAGCGAGACUGCCGGUGAUAAAUCGGAGGAAGGUGGGGAUGACGUCAAAUCAUCAUGCCCUUUAUGUCCUGGGCUACACACGUACUACAAUGGCUAUUACAGAGGGAAGCAAAACCGCGAGGUGGAGCGAAACCCAAAAAAUAGUCUCAGUUCGGAUUGAAGGCUGAAAUUCGCCUUCAUGAAGUCGGAAUUGCUAGUAAUUGCAGGUCAGCAUACUGCAGUGAAUACGUUCCCGGGCCUUGCACACACCGCCCGU
rnacentral:rRNA from 1 species